CAAGUUACUUAAUAUUUUGUCUCAGACCUCGAUAUCUCCUCCGGUCGUUUCCAGUCCCCCAAACAGACUUAAUCUUCUUCUCCACUCUGAGACUUCUCGAAAUCACUCUGUGGUAAUUCCGUAAUCUAAACCCUUAUUUCUUAAUUCUGUGGAAAUCUCCACUUGCUGUCUUGCUUGAUGAUUCACUAUUUCACUUGAUGACUAAGUUACCAUUGUUUUUUUUUAUUAUUGACUUUUGUUUUGUUGUGUUGUGACUUGAUUUUGGUUCAUUGUUCAACUUGAUUUUGAAUCAUAUAAUUAUAAUUCUUUGCGACUUGUUUUGUUUUGUUGCUUUGCGUUUUCGACUUGCGAUGAUAAUUUUUUUUUAUCAAAGUUUAAGUAAAUGGACCAUACGUUUAAAUAUUGUUUAAUUAAUUUAGUAUGUGUGGUUUCAAACAUUCAUUUUUUUAUUCUGUUUUUUUCUUCAAUAUAGAUGACUUCUUGUGAGAAUCCAGUUGGAAGGGAUGACGAUGAACCAAUGCAUGUUGAAGAUGGUGAUUCUUGGAGAAGACUUGACGAAGUUGUUGUUUGGAUGUUGUUUUCUGUUUUUUUUUUUUUUGUUUUUGGAUUGAAACUUCAUAAGAUUUAUGCUAUGGUUUCGG
rnacentral:lncRNA from 1 species